rnacentral:rRNA from 1 species
UAGGGAAUCUUCCACAAUGGACGCAAGUCUGAUGGAGCAACGCCGCGUGAGUGAAGAAGGUCUUCGGAUCGUAAAGCUCUGUUGUUGGUGAAGAAGGAUAGAGGCAGUAACUGGUCUUUAUUUGACGGUAAUCAACCAGAAAGUCACGGCUAACUACGUGCCAGCAGCCGCGGUAAUACGUAGGUGGCAAGCGUUGUCCGGAUUUAUUGGGCGUAAAGCGAGCGCAGGCGGAAUGAUAAGUCUGAUGUGAAAGCCCACGGCUCAACCGUGGAACUGCAUCGGAAACUGUCAUUCUUGAGUGCAGAAGAGGAGAGUGGAACUCCAUGUGUAAGCGGUGGAAUGCGUAGAUAUAUGGAAGAACACCAGUGGC